CGGCGGACGGGUGAGUAAUGCCUAGGAAUCUGCCUGGUAGUGGGGGAUAACGUCCGGAAACGGGCGCUAAUACCGCAUACGUCCUGAGGGAGAAAGUGGGGGAUCUUCGGACCUCACGCUAUCAGAUGAGCCUAGGUUGGAUUAGCUAGUUGGUGGGGUAAAGGCCUACCAAGGCGACGAUCCGUAACUGGUCUGAGAGGAUGAUCAGUCACACUGGAACUGAGACACGGUCCAG
rnacentral:rRNA from 1 species